rnacentral:piRNA from 1 species
UGGCCAUGAACGGAGAUCUGCAACUGAUG